GAUGAACGCUGGCGGCGUGCCUAAUACAUGCAAGUCGAGCGAACAGACGAGGAGCUUGCUCCUCUGACGUUAGCGGCGGACGGGUGAGUAACACGUGGAUAACCUACCUAUAAUACUGGGAUAACUUCGGGAAACCGGAGCUAAUACUGGAUAAUAUAUUGAACCGCAUGGUUCAAUAGUGAAUGACGGUUUUGCUGUCUCUUAUAGAUGGAUCCGCGCCGCAUUAGCUAGUUGGUAAGGUAACGGCUUACCAAGGCAACGAUGCGUAGCCGACCUGAGAGGGUGAUCGGCCACACUGGAACUGAGACACGGUCCAGACUCCUACGGGAGGCAGCAGUAGGGAAUCUUCCGCAAUGGGCGAAAGCCUGACGGAGCAACGCCGCGUGAGUGAUGAAGGUCUUCGGAUCGUAAAACUCUGUUAUUAGGGAAGAACAAAUGUGUAAGUAACUAUGCACGUCUUGACGGUACCUAAUCAGAAAGCCACGGCUAACUACGUG
rnacentral:rRNA from 1 species